UUUCCUUUAUUUUGUUCGAUCCUAGGGCUAGGUAUGAACCGAGCCUUUUAGCUUUACUGUACACAGACUGCAUUGCUAAGAAGGAGCCCUCAAAACUUUAUAUUCUAUAUUUAGUUGACUGUACACGCAAUCACUUGUGCUCCAAUCCUGUCAUUCGUCGUUCCAUAUUGACAUUGCAAACGAUUUAUCAGUUAAAGGCGUACAUGAUCAUUUCAACAUCCGUUAUGUUAUUUGCUGCAUGUUUAUACGUCUAAUCUCUUACAUACAAAUGAGCUGAAAAAUGCAGCAUCAAUAUUUUUACUACUUUGCUACUAUCAUACAUACACAAAUACAAAUAUACUAUGGGUGUACAUGCAGUAUAUCACUCACAAAAGGGAACUAACGAGCUAAGAUUUUGGGAAUUUUAAAAUCCCAAAGAAUUUUUAAAGCGUUUUAUAGGAUUUUUCAAGGAUUUUAGCGAUAUUGAAGGACUGUACAGAUUUUAAAGGAAUUGGAAUCUUUUCGAUACAGCUCCCAAAUAAUAUCAAAGUGUACAACUACCUCUAAAAUGUCUCUGGAAGAAACUUUUAACUCAGGAUCACCAAUAAAUUUCACAGUGAGGUCGUAACGUGUCUGUCUUGCCAGAACUUGGAAAAUUAGC
rnacentral:lncRNA from 1 species